rnacentral:rRNA from 1 species
GCCAGCAGCCAUGUCACCCUGCAACUUACAAUUGGCAGCCCACUGAAGCUAAGCAGGUGUGAGCCUGGUCAGUACCUGGACGGGAGACCUCCUGGGAAAAACUAAAGUUGCUGCUGGAA